ACUCAAAUGAAUAGACGGGGACCCGCACAAGCGGUGGAGCAUGUGGUUUAAUUCGAAGCUACGCGAAGAACCUUACCAAGGCUUGACAUCCCAGGAAGGUCCUGGAAACAGGACUGUGCCUUCGGGAACCUGGUGACAGGUGCUGCAUGGCCGUCGUCAGCUCGUGUCGUGAGAUGUUGGGUUAAGUCCCGCAACGAGCGCAACCCUUAUUGUCUGUUGAAUUUUUCAGACGAGACUGCCCGGGCCAACCGGGAGGAAGGUGGGGAUGACGUCAGGUCAGCAUGGCCCUUACGCCUUGGGCCACACACGUGCUACAAUGGCCGGUACAACGAGUCGCAAAGCCGCGAGGCGAAGCUAAUCUCAUCAAACCCGGUCUCAGUUCGGAUUGAAGGCUGCAACUCGCCUUUAUGAAGUCGGAAUCGCUAGUAACCGUGGGUCAGCAUACCACGGUGAAUACGUUCCCGGGUCUUGCACACACCGCCCGU
rnacentral:rRNA from 1 species